GGGUGCAUGGUCUAGUGGUAUGAUAUUCGCUUCGCAUAGUUCCAUACGAAUGCCCUGUGAAAGGUCCCCGGUUCAAUCCCGGGCGCAUCCA